ACACAUGUGAUUCUGUACUUACAAGGAAGUAGAAAAUAGCAAAUAAAAAUCAUGACUUGGCUCAGAGGGUUGCUAUUGCCUCCGAAGGCGGUAGCCCCCUGAUCUCCACUCUAUUUUUUUUGUCUCCUUUCUUAAAUCUGCGGCACUGCUGACCUUGAGACCUGAGUUGACAAGCAGGUCUCAUCAAGUGGCGCUGAACAGGGACCUGAAGCAGUUCACAGUCUACAAGACUAAUGGACAGGUGCUGACAGACGCGGGGAAUUCUGGCUGAAAAAGCGACAGACUGGAAAGUAACAAGAGAUGAAGAAACCAAAAGAAUAAUCAGGAAAUUGAAUGUAGAACAAUUAAUGCUCAACGAAAAGUGGCUUUUUGUAGUUGUUACUAUCAAAGGGUUCCCUUCAAGAUUACCUCACAGAUUUUCCAGGAGGUGAAGAUGAAGACAAGGAGACUGAACAAUGGAUGUGUGUGUGUAACUGUCCCCUGACUCACAAAAGUGCAAUGGAAAGCAAACAAGUGAAGUGAAAGAAUGCAAAGAGGGAGAUGGAACAAAAGCUUGCAGAGAAGUGCCAGUUAACAACUGACUAUAAGAGAAGAAUAAUCUUCUGAGUAAAUACAGAGAAAGAGAGAAAGAGAAGGGGCAGGGAUUUGUAUUGAAGAAGCUUGCUCUGUACUUUGAAACAAACUGAAAGAGAAAAAAUAGUAUUAUUUAUUUAAAAUCACUCCCUGACUUGAAUCAAUUCAGGAUACAAAAUAGUUUGCCUCCCUACUGAUUAUAUCAAUUUUUAAAUUGCAUUUAUUGCUAUUUUUCUUUUAUCUAGAGAUACGUAUUGAGUGUCUGUUAUAUGCCAGAAACUAUUCUCAGGAGAGCAUUGAACAAAACAGAAAAACUCUGCACUCACACAGCUUAAAUUCUAGCUGACAAUAGCUAAACAAACAAGCAAACAUGAUGUCAUAUAGUAUAAGUGCUAUGAAGAAAAAUCAGGUUAGGUACAUGGAAAGUUUUUACUUUCAUAGGGGUAGACAGGGAAACUGACUUACCCCAAGAUUAAUACACACUAAUGGUAGAUUUUUUUUUAACAAUAAAGAUUAACAAAAUGAAAAGCUGAAGUACUUUCUAUUUUAUUACCUAGGGAUAGAUACCUUGUGUUAAUAUUUUUCAUAUGUGUGUAUAUGUAUGUAUUUUUUAACUGGGAUACAUUGCCUUAUUGUUUGAAACAUUUGAUAAGUAUCUUCCAAUAAGAUGAUUCUGCUUUUCCUCACUGUCCUAUUUUAUAAUCCCUACUUAAAAGCAGAGUACACUUCUUGCCUCAUUUUUAGUUUUGAUUUGGUUCAGCCAAUGAAAUGUGAGCAGUAAAGAUUUGUUUUGGUUCUGAGAGAUUCUUGAAGAGUCCUCACCCAUUUCUGCCGGCUCUUUUGCACUAUCUCUCUGCCAUGAGGAUGUCAGAUCCCAAAUACAAGCUUAUUUGUAUACUGGGUCUUGAGGUUAAACCAUCUGGAAUAGAGUCACAAAACAAAUGUUUCUUGUGGAAAUUUUGUUAAUGUAUCAUUAAAACUAGAGAAAUAUAUGCAAAUAUAGUUUAUUUCAGAAGAGAAGUCAUGUAGUAGUGAAUUUCUCACUAAGCAAAAUAGCAUGAUUGGUAUAUUCUUUUCCAACUAUUUUCCCUAUGUUUUAAAUUACAAAUGACAUUUAUAAAAAUUCUAAAACUUAACAGAGAUGGACGAAGUUAAAAGUGAAAUUUCAUAGUACACUUUCCCAAAUCUUGAUAAUCUCAGUUAAUCCCACAGAUAAUACUAUUAAAAAUUUAUAGCAUAUUCAUCUGUGAGUAUAUGACCCUUCUUCCUCUCUCUUCACUUCACACAGUCACACACACUUAUAAAAUAGGAUGGUAGCAUCAGACAUAAUAUUUUUGGAAUUGCUUGUGUGUCUGUGUGUCAGUGUGUGUGUAUUACUGAUUAUGUCAUGGCCACAUUUCCAAAUCAAUACAAAGGUAAAAGCUAUACUUCAUUCCUUUUAGCUGCACUCCAUGGUCUGACUGUAACACAAUUAAUUUAAUUAUAUUAUUAUUCAUGUAAAUGUAGGAUAUAUCUAAAUUUUGUAAUUGCAAACUAAUCUGAAAAAUGAAAUUUUAUGUAUUCUAUUUACUAGUGUUAGAAGAUAGUCCUACAAGUGGACAAGUGCUGUAGAUUUUCUAAAAUACUAUUUUUCUGCUUUCAUAUUAUUCCAUUGCAUAUGUAAUUUAUCUAAAAUGCCAUGUGGAGUUCCUGUCGUAGUGCAGUGGUUAACGAAUCCACCUGGGUCG